GAUGAACGCUGGCGGCGUGCCUAAUACAUGCAAGUCGAGCGAACAGACGAGGAGCUUGCUCCUCUGACGUUAGCGGCGGACGGGUGAGUAACACGUGGAUAACCUACCUAUAAGACUGGGAUAACUUCGGGAAAACGGAGCUAAUACCGGAUAACAUGUUGAACCGCAUGGUUCAACAGUGAAAGACGGUCUUGCUGUCACUUAUAGAUGGAUCCGCGCCGCAUUAGCUAGUUGGUAAGGUAACGGCUUACCAAGGCAACGAUGCGUAGCCGACCUGAGAGGGUGAUCGGCCACACUGGAACUGAGACACGGUCCAGACUCCUACGGGAGGCAGCAGUAGGGAAUCUUCCGCAAUGGGCGAAAGCCUGACGGAGCAACGCCGCGUGAGUGAAGAAGGUCUUCGGAUCGUAAAACUCUGUUAUUAGGGAAGAACAAAUGUGUAAGUAACUAUGCACGUCUUGACGGUACCUAAUCAGAAAGCCACGGCUAACUACGUG
rnacentral:rRNA from 1 species